AAAAUACAAAAAUUAGCUGGACGUGGUGAUGGGCACCUGUAAUCCCAGCUACUCAAGAGGCUGAGGCAGGAGAAUCGCUUGAACCCAGGAGGCGAAAGUUGCAGUGAGCCGAGAUCACGCCAUUCCCCUCCAGCAUGGGUGACAAGAGCUAAACUCCAUCUCACAAAACAACAACAACAACAACAACAGUUUAUACCAACUAUUUGGAUACACGGCUGAAUUUCUCUAGUUUUUAUCCAACUAUUAGAUGUUACAUAAUGAUAAUCUCUGUGACUUGUUUUUUUUUUUUUUUUUUUUUUGCU
rnacentral:lncRNA from 1 species